rnacentral:rRNA from 1 species
UACAGAGGCCUCGAGCGUUAGGCGGAAUUACUGGGCGUAAAGGGUGCGUAGGUGGUUUGAUAAGUUAGGUGUGAAAGUCCUGGGCUUAACCUGGGGACUGCGCUUAAUACUGUCGAGCUAGAGUACUGUAGAGGAAGGUGGAAUUUCCGGUGUAGCGGUGAAAUGCGUAGAUAUCGGAAGGAACAUCAGUGGCGAAGGCGACUUACUGGACACAUAUUGACGCUGAGGUGCGAAAGCGUGGGGAGCAAACAGG